rnacentral:rRNA from 1 species
UACGUAGGGAGCAAGCGUUAUCCGGAAUUACUGGGUGUAAAGGGAGUGUAGGCGGGACUGCAAGUCAGAUGUGAAAAUUAUGGGCUCAACUCAUAACCUGCAUUUGAAACUGUAGUUCUUGAGUGAAGUAGAGGUAAGCGGAAUUCCAUGUGUAGCGGUGAAAUGCGUAGAUAUAUGGAGGAACAUCAGUGGCGAAGGCGGCUUACUGGGCUUUUACUGACGCUGAGGCUCGAAAGCGUGGGGAGCAAACAGG